UUUUUUUGUUUUAUAUUUCAUUACAUACUUUGACUAAUGUUUAAAAUGAAGCCGCAAGGUAAGUUCACUCGAAAGUUUCAUUACCUCGCCAUCAAGUGCACAGUGUUAGAAGUGGAGGUCAGGCUCUACAAGUAGACGCCCUAUAAUUCACUAAUGAUCCUUCCGCAGGUUCACCUACGGAAA
rnacentral:misc_RNA from 1 species